UUCAUUUUCACAUUUUCUAGUUUAACUUAAUUUAACAAUUUUGUUUAUCUUCAUUUGUGAUAAACGAAGGAACGUACUGACUCAUACGCACGUACGUCGGCCUUUCAUAAAGUACGGAAUUUAAUCUAAAUCGCGAAAGCGUAUCAGACGUUUUUCGGUGCUCGUAAAUUUAAAUCAGCCGCGUGUCUGACAUAUGAGAGGCAUAUUCUACUGCGUGCGGCGGACGCGUUUAUUUUCGUCAGCUCACGUUACAUUGCCGCGUCGUCGCACACAACACGAUAGUUUAAUCUAGAAAAUGCGAAAUUAAGACCGGCACGAUGAAACGAGUAUAUAUACACAUGCCAGUAUGAAAAACUGUCCUCGCCCCUCUUUUCUGUCCUCUUCUUUACGUCUAUACUAAAGAAUAAUUAUUCAGGUAUGCCAUUCGUCAUUUUUAUCCCUACGUUUAACUACUUCUAGACGAAUAAAUACAGGUCUUUCCACCGUAAUACGAUUCACAAUGAAACGUAUAAUUUAUUAAUUAUUAAACACUAGAAGUAUGAAACUUUCUCUAACUAUAGUCGUGUUACUUUCUGGAAAAAUACGUCAAUCGGUUUAGAGGCACGAUUUGCGUUCGACGAAUAUAUCCGUCAAUCCUUCUGGAAUAGCUAAAAAGAAAUAAUGAAACCAGUUUAUGAUGUAUUGAUAUCGACGAUUUCAACGUAAAUUAAUUAUUGUGACACAUACAAUAAAUUUGAAUUUAUUUUAAAAUACCAGCUCUACUGUAGUAAACGAAACAUUAUACAGGAUUAUAUGAAAUAUGUCAUAUAUGUUGUACGGCCGAGCUGACCAAGGCGUGGCUCGAAUUUUUAACCGCGGUUUCCAGGCGCUCUGAUUCCAUUCCAUUAUACCUGGUACGUGUUAAUUGUGCCGGCGAUUUCGUCGCCCGAAAUAGAAACCGCGGUCACGAUUUUCGCUGCUAGUCUCAUCGGGAUCAAGGCUGCCUGCGUUUUUGAUGGUACGCGGGGGCGGAAUCGCGGAAUUAGAGCCGAAUUACGUGUUGAUGAAAUUGAACCAGUAAUGAACGAAGCUUUUAUUAAUUUAUUAGUUGUAUUUUGGGUCGCAUUGACUUUUCGAAAACGGUUCGAGGAUGAAAAAAUAUAUAUAAUCCGCAGUACAAUAAAUAUAAUCUUGUCUAAGAUUAAAGUACGUUGACCACUUAAUACCGUUGCAGUCGCAACAGGCAAAUGAAAGUUUCACGGUAAUGAUUUAUACCUACAGUUCCGUGGAAAUGUUGGUAUAUUUAUCGUUUUAUUUUGACCUUUAUUCAUUUUGUGCCCAAAGGGGUUAUUAAUAUCGUCAGUGUCAGGGAGCUCAGGUUGCAUUCAAUCUCACUGCACACUCAACGAACAUUUAGAUGCAGUCUGCAAUGCAAAUGCAGAAAAUGAAACGAGAGCUUGAAAGAAAAUCUCCAUCUGCUAUUUUAUGAGAAGCUGAAGCUUAGAUUUGAAUUGUCGCGUCCCAACAGCUUGCUAUAAAUAGAUAUUUUUUUCCACCAAUUAUCGUCUCCGUAGUAAAUCAGUAAUAAUCUGAGAAGGUAGACUCGAUGAGAAAAACAGGUACGUCACUGCAAAAUAUUUAUCGCUGAGAGCAAUUCGGGAACUUUUCUAUUAGCAAACUAGGAACGAGAAGUUAAAAAAGAAGCAAAUAAGAAAUGAGGCCAGAGGGAAACUUUUUCGUUGUCCUGAUAUCCUUGAAUAUUUUUCGUGUCCCCCUCGUUGUUCCUUUUGUUUCUCGUCGCGGGCAAACUUGUUCCUCGAAUUUUUUACCUACCUUCUUCUCCUUGGGAGUUAUUGAGAUAAUGAGUAAUAGCCGCGAUGAAACUCCCACGGCGCGGUCUAACGGCGGUGCGGCGGCGUAGUCAGGAAAUAUCAUCGAAAGUUUACGAAAGCCCACUCACGGUUAUACAGCUGGGCCGCAGUAUUGCGGAGAUCAUUGUUACUUCAGACCGAAUAGUGUGCGUCGGUUGAAUCUUAAAUCAUCGUUUAACCUGGUAACCUUUACCGAGGAUAAUAGAACGAUACGCAGGUCGUGUUAUCAGAAGGGAUCUGCGAUUGAAACGAGAAUUAUUAUCGAAGAACGCGAAUACAGGCAAAUUUAUCUGCGAUUCGAAAUAAAUUCUUCCGAUUAUUUAAAAGUGUCAUUUUAUAAAAUAAGUCGACUAAAUUGGAUAUUAAUAGAAAUUAAUUAAACUUGAAAAAAAUGGCGAAUCAAACAAGCGUACAAUCUGGAAUGUACGGGUCGAGCUUCUUGCUAAUGAAGACGUAACAAAAUUCUUCGUGAGAUGCGUGAAAUAAACGCGGUAACUGUUGCGAACGAGUUUGGAAGGAAGAGAAGACAGAGGAGUUACACAAAAGGUGAAGGGAAUCAAGUCAGCCAGAAUCCUCGCCUAGUUAAUUCUCGCUGUGAUACAACACCCUCUUUUACGGGCGUCUCUGCUAGUCGCUGGAUUUCUUGGGAAUUGAAACUAAUUUGGGCAUGUCCUGCAACGUGGUCCCGGAGAUGUUUCAAGAUUACCGAGGGACUCGGUAGACUUGAUAAAGCAAAAAUGAGUCCUCUUGAAUGCCGUCGGAUAAUUGCAGGCAACGUGACGUUUUGCAAACUUAUUGUGCAGAGCUAAUCAUUAGCAACCUUCGAAAUUAUUAUAAUUUUAUCAAAUAUAAAUAUAAUA